AACGAACGCUGGCGGCAUGCCUAACACAUGCAAGUCGAACGAGACCUUCGGGUAUAGUGGCGCACGGGUGCGUAACGCGUGGGAACCUGCCCUUAGGUUCGGAAUAACUCCCCGAAAGGGGUGCUAAUACCGGAUAAUGUCUUCGGACCAAAGAUUUAUCGCCUUUGGAUGGGCCCGCGUUGGAUUAGCUAGUUGGUAGGGUAAAAGCCUACCAAGGCGACGAUCCAUAGCUGGUCUGAGAGGAUGAUCAGCCACACUGGGACUGAGACACGGCCCAGACUCCUACGGGAGGCAGCAGUGGGGAAUAUUGGACGAUGGGCGAAAGCCUGAUCCAGCAAGGCCGCGUGAGUGAUGAAGGCCUUAGGGUUGUAAAGCUCUUUUACCCGGGAUGAUAAUGACAGUACCGGGAGAAUAAGCUCCGGCUAACUCCGUG
rnacentral:rRNA from 1 species